rnacentral:lncRNA from 1 species
AGCAUUGUGGUCCUUUUCAACCCAGGCCGUUCUAUGAUUCCAUGACUGCCUCUAGGUUUUCCCUUCUUGUUUCUUCCCAAGGCCAGUCAGGUGGUGGGAGGAUGCAGUUAUGAGAGCGACUGACUUGUGCAAGCAGACUGCACUCAUUUCUCAAGCAGCAUGACAAACACCUACGUUGGUUCGUGCCUGAUCUUACCCAGAUGUAAGGUCUGUCUGAAUUAAGCUAGCAGCACUGACUCUUUGGAAUACACCAGAAGCUGACAAGAAACCGUCCGAGUAAUGAACUGUAAAACCUUUCUAUCAGAAGAGAAAUGCAGGAUGUUCUGUUUCAUACAUGGAAGAACGAAGAUCCAGAUUGAUGUCUCUGACUGAUCUCAUUCACAUUCACAUGGACAUCUCCCUGGGUAGCAUCUCUGACCUUACCUCAUUGUGGGCUGGAGACAAACUGAUACUUCAUUCUAGAAAAUAAUUUCUUCAGUUAUUAAUCAAUGUGGAAAAAAAGAGAAUGCAAAAGGUAAAAUUCAGUCUUUUUUUUCUUAUUUUCAGGCUUUGAGCCGAGAGAUUUUAAUUAUAUAUUCAGUUUUUCUAGGGAUGUGAAGUUAACGAAUAGCAUUAAAAAAGAAAAUCCUAAAAAACCAAAUUAGGCCAAAUAUAGAUAUAGU